GUCGCCCCAUUUGACAACACAUGACUUGGAUCUUGCAACACAUUUGAAGGAUGAAUCAUUGUAUCUUUUCUGAAUAAAAGCUUACGAUGAUAAUUACUAUUUUGGCAUCAUUGUGGUAUAUGACAAGGAAGAUUUUACUCUGAAGGAUUCCAUGCCAUUAAUGUGCAGGCUGUUGUUGACGUCAACAUUAGCACCUUCAGAGCAACAAUGAUGUGGGUCAUCUGUUGGGAGAUAGUGGGUAUCCGUUAAGGACUUACCUGAUGACCCCUUUACCUCAUCCCUCCAAUGCUGCGGAACAGGCUUAAAAUGACCAUCUAUGUAGACUGUCAAGAUUUUGUGUGGGUCAGCGCCAGUUGAUCUGUCUCAACAGAAGCCUGCUUCUCAAGAUGAAGAUUCUAGUAGCAGUGGAUCUGGAGAUGGAUUUGCUUAUUCAGAACACGCUCAAAGGUCAAAUGUCAUAUACGGCAUUAAACUGCUUGUUGGGACUGUAACUUCAUCAUGCAAUCUUUAAAUAAUGUACCAAAAAUGUUCCCCAUAUGGAGAUUGUAUGUCAUGUUGAAGUACUGUGCCCUUGCUUAAAAGUCAAGAUCAAAAUAAGAGGUCAAAGGUCAAACAUGUGUAAGUGCAGCUUAGGGCAUUCUUUGCAAUGGAAAAUUCCUAGAAUAAUAUAGUUCCGUCAUGUUUCAUGUUUUCAGAAUCCUAGUUCUAAGCGAUGGAAGAAUCCUAGAACACGACUGGCCUCAGACCUUGUUGGCUUAUAGCAACUCUGCUUUUUAUGCCUCGGCCAUGGA